rnacentral:lncRNA from 1 species
ACAGAGCUGAACGGUUUUCUGCAGGACACCACUAAGCAGGAGAGAAUGACAAGCUGGAUGAUGAUAUAAAUAUUUGGAAUUAGGACAACAUACAAGAUUAGGGCUGGCCAGCCCCUGGACUAUGCCAUGUGUGCAUAUACAGGCUCCUAGGAUGAACAUCCUCAAAUCCCAACCUCUCUCCCAGAAGCUGUGUCUCUACAGAACUGUGUUGGCCGAGACUGCUCUCAACUGAAUUGGGCCCAGCUCAGAGAGGCAGCUGCUGGGUAUCAACUCAGCUUCCAGGCCAUUGUAGAAAACAUAGAACCAGCCAGGAAGCCAGACUCCUGUCCUGCCCCUGCAGCCCCUGGGCCAUCGCGAAGGCAACUAACUACUGUAUCCAGAGAAGUCCCUGCUAACUUGAUUGUGAUGCCUCCUUCACUGGAGACUCUAGCAGUUUGUUGACUCUUGGCAUUUACAGUUGUUUGCUUAUUGAACAGUGUCAGGUUUCUAUGGCUCCGAGUGCUGGCUCGCAUUACAGUCAAGUGGAAGCAGGAAAAUUCAGACAAAGCCUUUCAUGGAAAGACAGGCCUGCCAC